rfam:Desulfotomaculum kuznetsovii DSM 6115, complete genome.
UGAGUAAACCGGGUGGUCGCGGGUGCCCGCAGGGGUGCCUGAGGAAAGUCCGAGCUCCACAGGGCAGGGUGCUGGGUAACACCCAGUGGGGGCGACCCCAAGGAAAGUGCCACAGAAAUGCAGACCGCCCAGCACUCAGCCCAGCAGUUUAAAAGGAUGCUUCAUGACAGGCAUGGACGGAUAACUGCGAGGUAAAACACCUUCAACUGUUGGGCUGAGUGCUGGGCAAGGGUGGAACGGUGCGGUAAGAGCGCACCAGCGGCCACGGCGACGGGCCGGCUAGGUAAACCCCACCUGGAGCAAGACCGAAUAGGGGGACAAGGGAGUGGCCCGCUCCGUCCCCGGGUAAAGGUCGCUAGAGGCGUCAGGCAACUGGCGUCCCAGAUAGAUGAUCACCCAAGACAGAACUCGGCUUACAGGUUUGCUCACAGC